rnacentral:rRNA from 1 species
GAGGUUUUUGGAUCGUAAACCCCUUUUGUCAAGGAAGAAGCUCUGACGGUACUUGACGAAUAAGCCUCGGCUAACUCCGUGCCAGCAGCCGCGGUAAUACGGAGGAGGCAAGCAGGUAUCCGGAAUGAUUGGGCGUAAAGCGUCUGUAGGUGGCCAGCUAAGUCUGCUGUUAAAGAUCACAGCUCAACUGUGGGAAGGCAGUGGAAACUGGCAAGCUAGAGGUUGGUAGGGGUAAAGGGAAUUCCCGGUGUAGCGGUGAAAUGCGUAGAUAUCGGGAAGAACACCGGUGGCGAAAGCGCUUUACUGGGCCAGACCUGACACUGAAGGACGAAAGCUAGGGGAGCGAAAGGGAUUAGAUACCCCUGUAGUCA